rfam:Triticum aestivum genome assembly, contig: Triticum_aestivum_CS42_TGACv1_scaffold_095929_2AL
CCACUUCUCAGUUGAUAAAGCACAAGGAUCUUAACCUUGUGGACAUGGGUUCAAGCCCCAUGAUGGGGG